UGUGAAAUCACAUCACCAUCUCGUGAUUUCUAUCAACAAUGCCCAGGCUUUUAUGCGAGGUGCACCCGUCCCUAUCGGUACAUGCCAUUUUGGGCGCGAACUCGGGAGGCAACGAGACGAACAUAUGGAAUACGUAUCAACUACUUACGGGUCAAGGUGGCUUAAUUGUGAAUUCUAGUGGAGGUUGAUUCACAAGUUGGAAGCGAUAGUUGACUAUGAAAUUAAUGGAGUCGAGUUCGUUGGAAGUUUGU
rnacentral:lncRNA from 1 species